rnacentral:tRNA from 27 species
CCGUCGACUUUAGAAAUCGUGAGGGUUCAAGUCCCUCUAUCCCCA